rnacentral:rRNA from 1 species
AGUGAACGCUGGCGGUAGGCCUAACACAUGCAAGUCGAACGGCAGCACAGUAAGAGCUUGCUCUUACGGGCGGCGAGUGGCGGACGGGUGAGGAAUACAUCGGAAUCUACUCUUUCGUGGGGGAUAAUGUAGGGAAACUUACGCUAAUACCGCAUACGACCUACGGGUGAAAGCAGGGGUUCUUCGGACCUUGCGCGAUUGAAUGAGCCGAUGUCGGAUUAGCUAGUUUGCGGGGUAAAGGCCCACCAAGGCGACGAUCCGUAGCUGGUCUGAGGGGAUGAUCAGCCGCACUGGAACAGAGACACAGUCCAGACUCCGAGGGUGAGCAACGGUGGGGAAUAUUGGACGAGGGGCGCAAGCCUGAUCCAGCCAUACCGCGUAGAUGAAGAAGGCCUUCUGGUUGGAGAGCCCUUUUGUUGUGAAAGAAGAACAGCAGGUUAAUACCCCACGAUUCUGACGGUACCCAAAGAAUAAGCACCGGCUAACUUCGUG